GUUAAAGAUACAUUUUAACUAUUAAGAAUAUGUUCAUUGUUCAGAAUAUAUAUUAAUUUGAUUUUACAAUGUGUGUUGAAGACUUUGCUAUAGGUAAACACAGAACCUCUGGAGAGAUACUCAGAUGAAUAAACAGUCUCCAUCCUUGAAGGAGGAUGCUUUCAGUGAGUAAACCAUUACCGACCAAUCACACUGGAAUUUAAACCCAUCUGGGUGAACUUAACGUUCUCCCCCUAAAAGAAGUCAUGGUAAUUUGAUCUACAAUUCAGAAGUGGACCCAGAGAAUGAAUGAGCCUUUCUGAGGAAAAUCCUGUGAGGGAGAAUGAAGGUAUAACACCUGGCUUCCUGGAGACUGUAUAAGAACCUGGUGCUCUGGGCAUCAAUGGGGUGCAGUCUUCUGACCCCAGCUCACAAUAUCACUUCUUGAAGUUCAAGACCAUCACCAUGAAGAUGUGAUUACAUAAUGAGUGUCUCAAGUUGCCAGUUAAGCACCAAAACUCAAAGCCACCAUUACAAUAUGCUGAUGGCAACAUAGAACAUGAGGAGAGGAAUAUCCAGAAUGAGAACUUGCGGAUCUGAGGGAAAUCCACUAUUCAGAAGCAAGGUAAAGUGGUGUCCAGAGCAUGAACGCUGGAGCUGGACUACUUGGAUUCAAAUCCCUGCUCAAUUGUCUGUUGGCUGUGUGACUUAGGGAUGGAUUCUAGAGCCUUCUGGAAUGCAAAUCAGACAAGCAGGAGUGUUGCAGAAAGGAAGAUGCUGCAAAGGACUCCAGCAGCAAAGGAAGUCCUUCUAUAAUGAAGAGUUGAAGGCUGAAGCCGACGCUUGCUGAACGUGGGACAGGCUUGCCACCUCCAUCUUGUCAGUUUUCUCUUGGUGGAUGAUGGGACAAGGGAAGCUUCUCUCAAGAGACAAUUAAAAUAGUGUUUUA